CCCAUACCGAACACAGAAGUUAAGCCUCAUUACGCUGAUGGUACUCGGAGGGUGACCUCCCGGUAGAGUAAGAAAUCGCCAAAC
rnacentral:rRNA from 1 species